AUGCUUGGGAAUAUGCCUUAUGGUGGGGGACAACAGUUGGAAACGACUGCUAAUACCGCAUAACAUCUCCGGAUCAAAGUGGGGGACCUUCGGGCCUCACGCCAUAAGAGUAGCCCAAGUGGGAUUAGCUAGUUGGUAAGGUAAUGGCUUACCAAGGCGACGAUCCCUAGUUGGUCUUAGAGGAUGACCAGCCACACUGGAACUGAGACACGGUCCAGACUCCUACGGGAGGCAGCAGUGGGGAAUAUUGCACAAUGGGCGCAAGCCUGAUGCAGCCAUGCCGCGUGUGUGAAGAAGGCUUUCGGGUUGUAAAGCACUUUCAGCGAGGAGGAAAGGUUGUACUUUAAUAGAGUGCAGCUGUGACGUUACUCGCAGAAGAAGCACCGGCUAACUCCGUGCCAGCAGCCGCGGUAAUACGGAGGGUGCGAGCGUUAAUCGGAAUUACUGGGCGUAAAGCGCGCGUAGGCGGUUAAUUAAGUCAGAUGUGAAAUCCCAGGGCUCAACCUUGGAACUGCAUUUGAAACUGGUUAACUAGAGUUUUGUAGAGGGUGGUAGAAUUUCAGGUGUAGCGGUGAAAUGCGUAGAGAUCUGAAGGAAUACCAGUGGCGAAGGCGGCCACCUGGACAAAGACUGACGCUGAGGCGCGAAGGCGUGGGGAGCAAACGGGAUUAGAUACCCCGGUAGUCCACGCAGUAAACGAUGUCUAUUAGAAUUUUGUGGCUAUAUGCCGUGGGAUUCAAAGCUAACGCAUUAAAUAGACCGCCUGGGGAGUACGGCCGCAAGGUUAAAACUCAAAUGAAUUGACGGGGGCCCGCACAAGCGGUGGAGCAUGUGGUUUAAUU
rnacentral:rRNA from 1 species